rnacentral:tRNA from 1 species
GGGAAGGUAGCUCAGUGGUAGAGCGCAUGCCUUGCAUGCAUGAGACCCUGGGUUCGAUUCCUCAGCACCA